rnacentral:rRNA from 1 species
AGUGAACGCUGGCGGUAGGCCUAACACAUGCAAGUCGAACGGCAGCACAGUAAGAGCUUGCUCUUACGGGUGGCGAGUGGCGGACGGGUGAGGAAUACAUCGGAAUCUACUUUUUCGUGGGGGAUAACGUAGGGAAACUUACGCUAAUACCGCAUACGACCUACGGGUGAAAGCAGGGGAGCUUCGGACCUUUCGCGAUUGAAUGAGCCGAUGUCGGAUUAGCUAGUUGGCGGGGUAAAGGCCCACCAAGGCGACGAUCCGUAGCUGGUCUGAGAGGAUGAUCAGCCACACUGGAACGGAGACACGGUCCAGACUCCUACGGGAGGCAGCGGUGGGGAAUAUUGGACAAUGGGCGCAAGCCUGAUCCAGCCCUACCGCGUGGGUGAAGAAGUCCUUCGGGUUGGAAAGCCCUUUUGUUGGGAAAGAAAAGCAGCAGGUUAAUACCCCGCUGUUCUGACGGUACCCAAAGAAUAAGCACCGGCUAACUUCGUG